AUUGAACGCUGGCGACAGGCCUAACACAUGCAAGUCGAACGAGUGGCGGACGGGUGAGUAAUGUCUGGGAAACUGCCUGAUGGAGGGGGAUACCUACUGGAAACGGUAGCUAAUACCGCAUACCAUCAGAUGUGCCCAGAUGGGUUUGGCUGGUUGGUGGUGUAAAGGCUCACCAAGGCGACGAUCCCUAGCUGGUCUGAGAGGAUGACCGGCAAAACUGGAACUGAGACAAGGUCCAGACUCCUACGUGAGGCAGCAGUGGGGAAUAUUGGACAGUGGGCUAAAGCCUGAUGCAGCCAGGCCGCGUGUGUGAAGAAGGUCUUCGGAUUGUAAAGCACUUUCAGCGGGGAGGCGUUACCCGCAGAAGAAGCACCGGCUAACUCCGUGCCAGCAGCCGCGGUAAUUC
rnacentral:rRNA from 1 species